rnacentral:tRNA from 1 species
GGGUAUGGCUCAGUGGUAAUGCAUGUGCUUAGCAUGCAGGAGGUCCUGGGUUCAAUCCCCAGUAUAUCCA